rnacentral:rRNA from 1 species
AUUGAACGCUGGCGGCAUGCUUUACACAUGCAAGUCGAACGGCAGCGCGGGCUUCGGCCUGGCGGCGAGUGGCGAACGGGUGAGUAAUACAUCGGAACGUGCCCAGUAGUGGGGGAUAGCUCGGCGAAAGCCGGAUUAAUACCGCAUACGACCUGAGGGUGAAAGCGGGGGAUCUUCGGACCUCGCGCUAUUGGAGCGGCCGAUGGCAGAUUAGCUAGUUGGUGGGGUAAAGGCCUACCAAGGCGACGAUCUGUAGCUGGUCUGAGGGGACGACCAGCCACACUGGGACUGAGACACGGCCCAGACUCCUACGGGAGGCAGCAGUGGGGAAUUUUGGACAAUGGGCGAAAGCCUGAUCCAGCAAUGCCGCGUGUGUGAUGAAGGCCUUCGGGUUGUAAAGCACUUUUGGCGGGAACGAAAAGGACUGUGCCAAUACCACGGUUCGAUGACGGUACCCGCAGAAUAAGCACCGGCUAACUACGUG